AACCCAGACUCCUACGGGAGGCAGCAGUGGGGAAUAUUGCACAAUGGGGGGAACCCUGAUGCAGCGACGCCGCGUGGGUGAAGGAGUACUUCGGUACGUAAAGCCCUAUCAGCAGGAAAGAAAAUGACGGUACCUGACUAAGAAGCCCCGGCUAACUACGUGCCAGCAGCCGCGGUAAUACGUAGGGGGCAAGCGUUAUCCGGAUUCACUGGGUGUAAAGGGAGCGUAGACGGCGACGCAAGUCUGGAGUGAAAGCCCGGGGCCCAACCCCGGGACUGCUCUGGAAACUGCGUCGCUGGAGUACGGGAGGGGCAGGCGGAAUUCCUGGUGUAGCGGUGAAAUGCGUAGAUAUCAGGAGGAACACCGGCGGCGAAGGCGGCCUGCUGGACCGCGACUGACGUUGAGGCUCGAAAGCGUGGGGAGCGAACAGGAUUAGAUACCCGAGUA
rnacentral:rRNA from 1 species